UACGUAGGGUCCGAGCGUUGUCCGGAAUUACUGGGCGUAAAGAGCUCGUAGGUGGUUUGUCGCGUUGUUCGUGAAAACUCACAGCUUAACUGUGGGCGUGCGGGCGAUACGGGCAGACUUGAGUACUGCAGGGGAGACUGGAAUUCCUGGUGUAGCGGUGGAAUGCGCAGAUAUCAGGAGGAACACCGGUGGCGAAGGCGGGUCUCUGGGCCUUACCUGACGCUCAGGUGCGAAAGCUAGGGGAGCGAACAGG
rnacentral:rRNA from 1 species